GAAGUCUUCGGAUUUUGAGACCGGCGCACGGGUGCGUAACGCGUAUGCAAUCUACCUUUUACAGAGGGAUAGCCCAGAGAAAUUUGGAUUAAUACCUCAUAGUAUGCAGAGUUGGCAUCAACACUGCAUUAAAGUCACAACGGUAAAAGAUGAGCAUGCGUCCCAUUAGCUAGUUGGUAAGGUAACGGCUUACCAAGGCUACGAUGGGUAGGGGUCCUGAGAGGGAGAUCCCCCACACUGGUACUGAGACACGGACCAGACUCCUACGGGAGGCAGCAGUGAGGAAUAUUGGACAAUGGGCGCAAGCCUGAUCCAGCCAUGCCGCGUGCAGGAUGACGGUCCUAUGGAUUGUAAACUGCUUUUAUACGAGAAGAAACACUGCUUCGUGAAGCAGCUUGACGGUAUCGUAAGAAUAAGGAUCGGCUAACUCCGUGCCAGCAGCCGCGGUAAUACGGAGGAUCCAAGCGUUAUCCGGAAUCAUUGGGUUUAAAGGGUCCGUAGGCGGUUUAAUAAGUCAGUGGUGAAAGCCCAUCGCUCAACGGUGGAACGGCCAUUGAUACUGUUAGACUUGAAUUAUUAGGAAGUAACUAGAAUAUGUAGUGUAGCGGUGAAAUGCUUAGAGAUUACAUGGAAUACCAAUUGCGAAGGCAGGUUACUACUAAUGGAUUGACGCUGAUGGACGAAAGCGUGGGUAGCGAACAGGAUUAGAUACCCUGGUAGUCCACGCCGUAAACGAUGGAUACUAGCUGUUGGAAGCAAUUUCAGUGGCUAAGCGAAAGUGAUAAGUAUCCCACCUGGGGAGUACGUUCGCAAGAAUGAAACU
rnacentral:rRNA from 1 species